CGGGGGAGGAGCCAUCGCCUCUUGGUGGACUCUCUGAAGGCAAGGUCCGGGAGAAAGAGGUGGGGCCUAAAUGUAGCUUCCGCCUAAACUGUUUAUGCCUUUAAUUCCAGCACUCAGGAGAUAGAGCUAGGCGGAUCUCUGAGUUCAAGGCCAGCCUGGUCUACAGAGUGGGUUCCAGGACAGCCAGGGCUACGCAGAGAAGCCCUGUCUCGAAAAACAAAACAAAAAGCAAGCAAAUAAAACGUAGCUUUUGCUGAAGCGGGAACUUUGGUGAGAAGAGUCACAGUGCAGGGAGUCUGGGUGACUCCCUGUCUCCUCUUGCAGUUUGAACUAUGGGAACUGUCUCCUGAACUAUGGGAACUAUACUGUGAGUCCUGAAGUUUUGAGGAGCCUGCUUUUCCUCUGAACGACAGUCCUAGCGCCCGGAUGGAGGGGUCAGGCCUACAGUUCCCUCCAGCACAGGAAGAAUGUGGAGCGUGGAUCUAUCUGAUUAGAUUAAGGUAAAAUGGAAUACAAGAGCAAGGCAUGCUGACUAAGGGGAAGAGAGACACACACUGAGUGGUUAUAAUUCUUUUGUAUAUAAAGGAUUAAAAAUUCCAAUUUAAUAAUUUUGGAAAAGCAAAUGUAAAAUGACUUGGGCUUAUAAAACCAGAAUUUACAAUUAUCUAUGAAUAGUCAAAAGAUAAAUCAUAGAACCAUUUUAAUUACAAAUCUAAAGUAAUUCUAACAUUGGUUACAGAAUCGCUGUCCCACUCCCCAGGAAGAGUCCAGCUGCUGACUGUAUGCACCCCACUCUACUCAAGCGCCUUCCUCUCUUCCCAAACCGUGCUCUCAUACCUCAACCACAUCUCCCUUCCAUAAAGCUCAGCAAAACUGUUUAUCCUCCUGGCUCUUACCAACUGCCUUCCUUUCAUAAGAACCCUGGCUCCCGGCACUGAAUGUGGUCCAUCCUUAAGCUUCAGCGGUUGGUCUUCUCUCGGCUCCAUCCCAGCAGGCAAGGUCCUCCUCUGAAAGGAACUGCUGCACCAGAGAGGCCAGAGAUGUCUUGUGCUAAGUCUUCCCUAGGCCAGCUCCAGCCAGGCUCCAGCUGUCUAGCACCUUUGUAUGCAAAGUUCCACUGUUCUCUCUUCCUCCUGCUUCAACAUUUACACCAACAGGACAUCUGGGCAUCCUUAGGUCUUCCUGUCUUUCACAACCCUUCAUUGACAGUUCAGGGACUACCAACACGACUAUACACUGAAAAGUUGGUAUUUUCUUCUCUCUACUGUUACGUACUUAAACAGAACAAAAAGUUUUCGGGGAGCCAGGACACUGACCAGAGAAAGCUGUUUCUCAACACUCCCUGCCUCCUAAUGGAUGCUGACUACUCUGCAAAGUUCAGGAACCCACAGCCUCUGACAACUCCAAGCCUGAGGGAGGUAAAUAGGCCUGCCAGUUCUGCCCGAUGACGGGCACUGGAUAGAGUACCGCAUUCUGACUGACAGACUGG